rnacentral:rRNA from 1 species
GGCGAACGGGUGAGUAACGCGUGGGAACCUACCCUGGGGUGGGGGACAACCACUGGAAACGGUGGCUAAUACCGCAUACGCCCUCCGGGGGAAAACUUUUGUGCCCUGGGAUGGUCCCGCGUCGGAUUAGCUAGUUGGUGGGGUAACGGCCUACCAAGGCGACGAUCCGUAACUGGUCUGAGAGGAUGAUCAGUCACACUGGAACUGAGACACGGUCCAGACUCCUACGGGAGGCAGCAGUGGGGAAUAUUGGACAAUGGGGGCAACCCUGAUCCAGCCAUGCCGCGUGGGUGAAGAAGGCCUUAGGGUUGUAAAACCCUUUCAGCGGGGAAGAUGAUGACGGUACCCGCAGAAGAAGCCCCGGCUAACUCCGUGCCAGCAGCCGCGGUAAUACGGAGGGGGCUAGCGUUGUUCGGAAUUACUGGGCGUAAAGGGCGUGUAGGCGGUCUAUCGAGUCAGGCGUGAAAGCCCCGGGCUUAACCUGGGAACUGCGUUUGAUACUGAUAGACUAGAGGUUGGAAGAGGAGAGUGGAAUUCCCAGUGUAGAGGUGAAAUUCGUAGAUAUUGGGAAGAACACCAGUGGCGAAGGCGGCUCUCUGGUCCAUACCUGACGCUGAGGCGCGAAAGCGUGGGGAGCAAACAGGAUUAGAUACCCUGGUAGUCCACGCCGUAAACGAUGUGUGCUAGACGUCGGGUGUUCAGCAUUCGGUGUCGGAGCUAACGCAUUAAGCACACCGCCUGGGGAGUACGGCCGCAAGGUUAAAACUCAAAGGAAUUGACGG